AGGCAAAUUCGAGUGGUAUUAUUAUAUUUUUUAUAUAAUAAAAUUUAAUUUUUUUAUUUAGAUAGCUAUCAUACUAAUGAUUUAUUUAUUGUUAUUUUAGGCCAUUCUCCACCGACGAUGAGGCGAGGGUGAGGUCCAUCAAAGAACCUCACUCUAGAGCAUUGGAGACGCGAGGAUGCAGAGCAGCAUCUCCGUAUUGAGAUACCACUCGACUACACCAGGCCCAUUAGGGGAUGGUGC
rnacentral:lncRNA from 1 species